CGCAGAGACCAUCACCGCGAACGACGGUGAUGGCAGUUGCAUGGACUGCAGGCCCAGAUGACAACAAGGAUUUGUCUCUCUCAGCAUUCUCAUCUGUAUUCAAGACAAUGCGUUCCAGCCUAGCUCCCUACAAUUUAAUGAACUGCCAAGAUUUGCUUCGUUACCUCAAAGACUGAAGUAGAAAUACAAGGAAGAAGGUUGCCAGAUCUUAGGGUACCCGCUGAAGUCUCAGGGGACUGGCAUUGAUCUUCAGCCAAGGAGGCAAAUCUUGGGCAAGAAAUGCUGGAUGAGGCAAAAGUGAAUCUGAAGUCUUGCCAUCCAUUUCUGCCAUUUCCCAAAUGCCACCAACAGGAAUCAGCCACCAAUGCCAGUGCAAAUUGAUGCUGUUGUCGGAAGUGGACAAGACCAAAGCCUACUGUGACCGCGAGCUGAAGUGAUCAUUAAAACAAACAA